ACACAUUCUUUUAAAAUGCACAUGGUAUGUUUACCAAGUUGGUCAAAAUGCUGGACCAUAAAACAAGUCUCAAUAAAAUUUAAAAGUUUGAAAUAUAUAGAGAAUAUAGGAUAUCCUCUGACCACAAUGGAAUAAAAUUAGAAAUCUAUAACAGAAAUAUAUCUAGGGAAACCCCAAAUGUUUGGAAAUGCAACAACACACUGUAUACAAUUCAUGGUUCAAAGAAGAAAUCACAAGGUAUUAGAAAAUAUUUUUAACUAAAUGAUAAUGAAAAUACAGCAUAUCAAAAUUUGUAGGAUGCAGCUAAAAUAGUAUAUAGAGGAAAUUUUAUAGCUUUAAAUAUUUGUAUUAGAAAAAAGAAAGGUCUUAAAUAUGCUGUCCAAUAGAACUUCCUGUGAUAAUGGCAAUGUCCUCUAUGUGUAUUGUCCAGUCCAGUAGCCACUAGCCAUGUGUGGCUAUUAAGUACUUGAAAUGUGGCUAGUGUAACUAGGGAAUUGAAUUUUAUAUUUAUUUAAUUUAAAUUGAUACCCACAUGUGGUUAUUGGCUACCAUAUUGGACAAUAUGGAUCUAAAAAUCAGUGACUAAAGAAAAGUACACAAUAUAAGUAAUAAGGAUAUAGUAAAGAUAAGAGCAUAAAUCAGUGAACUGGAAAGUAGACCAAAAAAUAGAGAAAAUCCAUAAAUGCUUGUUCUUUUAUUUAUUUAUUUAUUUAUUAUUUUUUUUUGCGGUACGCGGGCCUCUCACUGUUGUGGCCUCUCCCGUUGCAGAGCACAGGCUCUGGACGCGCAGGCUCAGCGGCCAUGGCUCACGGGCCCAGCCGCUCCGCGGCAUGUGGGAUCUUCCCAGACCGGGGUACGAACCUGUGUCCCCUGCAUCGGCAGGCGGACUCUCAACCACUGCGCCAGCAGGGAAGCCCCAAAUGCUUGUUCUUUUAAAAGAUCAAUAAAAUUUAUUAAGUAUAUAGAGAGCAAAGAUUACCAAUAUCCAGAGUAAGAGAGGGACUACAAACAUUGGGAAAAUAAUGGAAUGUUAUGAGCAAUUUUAUGCCAAAAAAUUAAACAAUUUAGAUGAACUGUACAAAUUCUUUGAAAAAUACAACUCAUCAAAACUGACACAAGAUGAAACAAAAUCUGAAUAGCACUAUGUCUAUUUUUAAAAACAAAGUCUAAUUCAACAUCAGGCGCCUUCUCACAACGAUUUUGAACCUCAGACAAUGUUGGUAGAAAUAUAAAAUGGUAUAAUUACUUUGGAAAAAGUCUGGCAUUUCUUUUUUUUUUAAUUUUUUUUAUUUUGCGGUACACGGGCCUCUCACUGUUGUGGCCUCUCCCGUUGCGGAGCACAGGCUCCGGACGCGCAGGCUCAGCGGCCAUGGCUCAUGGGCCCAGCCGCUCUGUGGGAUGUGGGAUCUUCCCGGCCUGGGGCACAAAACAAACCCGUGUCCCCUGCAUCGGCAGGUGGACUCCCAACUACGGCGCCACCAAGGAAGCCCCUGGCAUUUCUUAUAAAACUAAAUAUACACCUUCUCUUUGCCUCAGCAAUUCUACUUAUAGUUAUGUAUGCAAGGGAAAUUGAAAUAUAUGUUGACAAAUAAACACAAAGCCUAGGCGUCAGUAGGAAAAUGGAUAAACAAACAAUAGGAUAUUUAUACAAUGGAAUACUAUUCAGCAAUACUGAGGAGAAAAUUACAUUAGGAGAAAAUUACAUAAGUGCAACAGCACUUAUGAAACUAAAAAACAUGCUGAGUGAAAGAAACCUUCCACAAAAAGAGUAUAUACUAUACGAUUUCAUUUAUAAGAAAUUCUAGAACAGGCAAAACUAGUCUAUGGUGGGGAAAAAAAAUCAAAACAGUGGUUCUUUAUGGGGGAGUAAGGGGUUUUUUAGUCAGGUGUAUAUAUUUGUCUAAACUCAGUGAACGUACACUUCAGACAUGGACACUUCACUGAGUAUGAAUUUUACUUCAAAAGAAAAUAUUAGUAUUGAACUUCAGUUAAUGAUAGGCAUACUGAAUUAUUUAGGGAAAGUCUGACAUCUGUAGUUUACUUUGAAAUACAUCAAAAAGACUAGAUGGAUUGACGGAUGGACAGGAAAAUGGAUAUGUAUAUAGAUAUGUGAUAAAGCAAGUAUAGUAAAAUGUUAGUGGUAGAAUCUAGGUGGCCUUAAACAUACUCUGUUGUCCAAAUGAAAUUUUUCAUAAUAACAUGUUGGGGAGAAAAGGUGAAGGAAAAGCGUGCUUUUAAUUCCAUGCACACAGAAUUACAGAAAUGCAGUUGAGCUGAGCCUCACUGGGAUCUGCCUUUAUAGACAAGAAAAAUGUGUUAUGCAUACAUUUGUUCUGAGUUUCUUGAGAGCUACUAUAAGCAAAGGAUCAUGGAAUAAUUAAUUAAUAUGUAUCGAGGUUUUUUCCUGUCCUCUGGAAACUUGCAAUCUAAUGAAGCAUAUAAAACAAACAUACAAAUAAUAGAGCACAGAAUGCCAUACGUUCUCUAAAGUAGGUAAGGACAAGCUGGCAUGUUGUUCAGCAGAGUGAGAGCAUUUUAGGUUGGAGGAACCCUGGAGGCUGCCUGGAGGAGGGGCUAUUUUAGAUUCUAAGAGGACAGGGGCCUUCAGCACAGAAGACGGUAUCUGGUGCAGAAGGGAGCCUGUGCAGAUGUUUGGAGGGGUGUGAAAUAAACCUGGAAAGGUGGGACCAAGGCCUUGAAAACCAGGUUUGGGUUUUAUUCCGUAGCUAGGGAGGAGACAUACAUUGUGUGUUUGGACAAGGGAGGGAGAUGCAUGCUUUAACAUAAAUGUUAUGUACUAGUACCCAGAAAUGCAGGAAGUCCAGAUGAGAGCCACCCCGCCUCCCCGCCUCCCACUGUAAGGCUUUAUUCCAAUCACACGCCCUUGGAGGGGUGCCCGGGACCCGGUUUUAAGUUGAAGAAAGUAGCUUAGAGGGUCUCCAAGGUCCAUCCAGUUCCAGCAUUCUGUGAUCUGUUGGCUGGAAAAAGUUGUUGCUCAAACAGAUUAAAUAUUUCCUCUUGCAAUGUUAUGUUGCUCCGUUAGCCAACUCUUACUUCAUAAAGUCUGGAUUGUACUGUUAGAUAUAUUACAGAUUCCAUAUUCUGGGUAUCAGAGCUGUGAGCUGUUGCUGUGUGGUAAUGUUGCUUUUCACAGACCGGUAACAUUUCAAGCUAUUGAACUUUAACAUUGCGAAAAAAAAAAAGACUGAUUGUGUCCUUAAACUGGGUGGGGGUUACAGGGGAAACCUUCCAAUGCUUCUGCAUAUGUCACAGAUGGGUCUGAGCAACACGAACUUGCUUGUAUCAUUCUGGUAAUUCCCGAAUGCAAGGAAACAGAGACAACACAAUUUCUUGUGUUGAAAGAAAAUCUAUUUCUGCAUGAGUUUUUAAUAAUGGUUUUAUUGUAAUCUCUGGUGUGUUUUGAUCUUUGGCCCAGAAAAAAAUGUCCCAAUAUAUUGAACCAUUGGGUAGGUGGUGAAAAACUAACUUUCAGCUCUAAUCAUCCAGGUCUAGGUGGACAUCUGCUUGUGUCGAGAGUGAAGGAAAGAUGCUGGAAAUAUUGUUAUUUUCAGACCACUGGGUUCAGGCAUUUGAUGUGAGGAAAGAAGUGAUAUGUUGAAAAAGUUGUGUGAGGUGGGAACACAGAAUCUUUGGGAGGAAAAACAGAAAGAAAGGUAGCUCAGAGCACUCUCAAUGGUAUGUUUGCCGUUGCUGUGGUGGUUUGAUGACUGGCUUAGACCUGGUUCCAAAGACACAAGUUUGAUCUUUGAUGGAGUGCUGGUUACACAGAGAUCUCUGUUGCAGAGAAAACAUGUUUCUUAGCGUUCAUUCACUUUUCAUCUUAUUAGGGAAAGAAGCCAUGUCCUGACCUCAUCAAAACCAUUUAAACACCAAGCCACAGCUCUCCAAGGGUCUCAUAGAUUUGUGGUUUGUGAAUGGGGCAGAGGUGGUCAGUAUUCAUAUUUAUUGAUGGAAUCAGUCCAGAGUAAUCUCAGAACCCCCAGGGUCUUUUACAAAGAGGAUGUUCUCUCAAGGAACCCAGUAAGCGGGGUCUCAGAUCAGAGCUGCUUCAAAGAGGUAAGGGACGUGCCUCCAGACCAGGCCCCAGUAAAGAGAGGAAGCUGCUUUUCCUCUGCUGGGAGCUAAAGACUGCCACAUCGGGACCCUUCCAUUUUUAAACAUUUCCCUGAAAUGUGCGCUGUUUGUCAGCAAACAGCACGUUUUGAAGCCAGAUAUCCUGUCCAAAUAAUAAUAAUGUCACAAGUUCUGUCAUGAGCAUAGUUUCCCCUUUCUUCAACUUAUAAGGAUUUUUCAUAUGAUUAUAAAAGGAACUAUUAAAAUCUUAGAAAAUAUAGAAAGGUGUAGAGCCACAAAAGUCAUCCAUAAUACCACAACUUAAAGGUGUUAACCAUUGUUAGCAUUUUAAGAUUUUUCUUCUUCCUUUUAAAUUGCUCUUACAUAUGUAUAUGCAUAAAUGUCAUAAGGGCAUCAUCGGAAACAUGCCAGCUAUUUUUCACAUAACGUGAGAAUUUUUCUCGUGUUAUAAAAAACCCUUAGAGAAUAUAGUUAAUGACUACAAAAUAUUCCAUUUUGUGAGCACAGCAUCGCUUUUUUUUUUUGAUUUUUUUUUUUUUUCUUUUGCGGUACGUGGGCCUCUCACUGUUGUGGCCUUUCCCAUUGCAGAGCACAGGCUCCGGACACGCAGGCUCAGUGGCCAUGGUUCACGGGCCCAGCCUCUCCGCAGCACGUGGGAUCCUCCCGGACCAGGGCACGAACCCGCGCCCCCUGCAUCGGCAGGCGGACUCUCAACCACUGUGCCACCGGGGAAGCCCACACAGCAUCAUUUUAAUAGUACCUCACUAUUAGACAUUUAGAUUGUUUCCAAUGUUCUUUUGUAAAAGUGGGAAUAUCCAGGUUUCAGGAGACACACUCCUAUGUCUGGGGAAGGUGGAGAAAUAUGUGUUUGCAAGGGUGCCUGGUGGCCCAAACUAAACCUGUUCAGACCCCUCCGCAGGGCCUCUGUCUGGCUUUCUGUGCAUCCAGAUUGAAGGACCAGAGAGGGAGUCCUCAGAUCCGCUGAUCAUGGCAGGGGUCACUAUGUGUUUGUGCUGCUCUUCCUGGGGACAGGCAGGCUCUGGGGAUGGGAGUCCAUCCCAGUGGACAACCCCUCUGCUCCCAGUAGCCCUGGGAGCUAGGCCAAAGGACCUAGCCCUUCCUCGCUCUCUUUUCCUCAGAAAGAGAGACACCGCUUUCUUGGUCCCAUGAGGCUGUGGUCUUAGGUCUGAAACAGAGGAGCUUUAAGUGGCUUGGAGCCUACUGGACCUAAUAAUAAUGGUUCUAACAGUGGCUAAUAUUUAUUGGGCAUUUGCUAUGAUGCUUCAGGUGCUCUACAUACAGCAACUUGUUAAUUUGCAGACCUCCUGUUCUGAGAGCAGGCGGUAGUGUCUCCUAGUGAAAAUAAGCAAGGCGGGCUCAGGGUCUCACAGACCUGGUUAGGGUCCCGGCUGCCCCACUGACCAGCAGCUCUGUGACUCAGGCAGGUGCAGCUCUUAGGAAUGCAUUCAGCUGCAAAGAUCAGAAAACCCAACCGAGAGUGCCUUAGACAAGUAGGUAGUUAUUUUUCCGACAUUAUGAGAAUUCUGGAGGGAGCCAACCCCGGGCUCAUGCGGUGUCUUCAGGGACCCACUCUCUUAUCUUCCCACCUGCACUAUCCCCGCCUUGUGGCUUUUGUCCUCAUGGUUGUGAGAUGGCUGCAUCUGAGGCAGGAAGAAGCAGAAAGGGAGAAAGUGGGGCAGCCCCUGGAUCAGGAAAGCAAAAGCUUUUUUUGAAACGCUCAGCUUAUGUCUCAUUGGCCAGAACAUGGCCACCUGGCUGUACGGGACUCUGUGGGAGAAGGUUUAGCUGGACACAUUGCCCUCCCUACAGAAAUCAGGGUUCGGUUAGCAAGGGAGACAAGGAAUGUUUGAUGGGUCAGCAGCCAUCAGCAUCCGUGUCAGCAAGUCACUUCAUCUCUCUGAGGCUCAGUGGUUCCACCUCCCUAGUCUAGUCAGGCUCUUUCAACUCACUAGAGGUAUCCCCGGUUUGCCUUAGGGCUUGGGAGAUCCCCAGGGAUGGGGAGACCCAGACGUGGGUCCCAGCAACACACAGUCCAUUCCCCGUGGGUCUCUGUGCUUCCCAGCAGGCCCUCUGGCACCUUGCUGUCCGGGAGGUACCAGGAGCUCUGGGCACGAGCUGUCCUGCCAUCACUUUGAAUCGGGCAUCCAUGGCUCCCUGCCACACCCCGCGAUUCUUCCUGGCUUGGAAAGCUGGCCUCUUUGCCCUCUUUCUCUUCCUUCUACUCCUCACUCUACUGACUCAAGCCGACUGUCACCUCUGCUGCCAUGGCUGCAUCUCACAUUCAGACCCCCCAAAAGAGACAGUGUCCGGGGUGAGUCGGUAACCCCUCGGUGAGGAGCAUUGUGGUCAGGCAGAGGCUUCCUGUCCCAGUGGUCACUCGUCACCCUUUAGCCACAGGACACAUUGUGGCUUCUUUCCUCAACAGAGAGAGCCCUGUGGCUGGGGCAGGUGCUGGUGGAGCCCACGUCCUCUGCGACCCGUUGCCUCGGGGAGUCUCAGGGCACAGGACUGCACAGCUCUCGGGGCGUCAUGCACGUUGAGUCCAUUAGCGCUUUUAGGUUGUCUGUGUGAUUCUGGAUGCAGGGAGAGCUCGCACACCUGGGCCCCGAGGGUCAAAGGCAAGAAUCAGGCCAGGAGGCCCUGUUAUCACAAGAGUUAUCACAAGGCUGUCCAGGUGAACAGAAGGCAAAGGUCCCCACCACAUGCUCUCGUGGCCUCAGGAGCUCUCCUUCAGCCUGCCCAGGGCUGGAGGGCCGUGUAGUCAAUCUCCUCAACCUGAAGAAUUCUACAGAAUGGAGUUGGCUUCGUGGGCUGGCUGCCUGUUGGACCUGCCAGCAGACCAGCCCUUCACUGAAACUUUGAACUUGGUUAUGUGACAUUUGCUUUUUAAGCAGAGAAGAAAGGCAGAUUGCUGAGCAGAGCCAAGCUAGUUAUGGUUCUUUUUUUGGCUGAUGAGUACUAAUUCCCUUUGAGGGAGGCUUCUCACUUGGUCCCUUUCAGACACCAGGAGAAGAAGGGGUGGGACCCUCUAUCAGGCUUCAGAGGAAAGGACCCGCACCAGUGAGUGGAGGACCCCAGGUCCUAAACUGACGCGAGCUGAGAGUACCUCACAGCAUGACACGCUGUGCAGAGGGAGAACCGGCUCUCAGGAGCAGUGACCCCUGGGGAUAGAGAUGGAAGCCAGGGAGCCCAUCAGGGGUGGGAGGCGCCCUUCCAGCUCCCCGCCCAGAGCACUCCUGCACCCCAGGCUCCCAGGAGUCAGCACCUAGUGCACAGUGGGCUCGAGACUGGGCCCCGGGGAUGACCCAGCUCACCCUCGUCUGCGCGCUCAGCCUGCAGCUCUCUGCGCCGCCUCCUUCUCGUGGAGAAAACAUGUCCAUGACCAUGAGUCCCUUUCCAUCCCACAUGUCCAGGGCAAACCUCCCUGCUGCAACACACAGACGUGGUUCCAAUCUCUGCUCCUUCCUUCCCUACGUCUCUGGUCUGGGAAAGCGGUUUUCUGCCCAUCCUCACAUCCUGCCUGCGGUAUUGCAGCAGCCUCCUAAGCAGGCCUCCUGCCUCUAGGGCUCACCAACAGCAUCCUGUACCUCUUUCUGGCAUAACUUGCCAAAACACGAUGCACUCUAAUCAUGCCUCUGGAAGUUUUCAGCUCCUUGCUCGCUGCCUACAAGAAAAAGGAGAAGGUGGGAGAACCUUCCUUUGUGAUUUGGCCCCCCUCUGCCUCUCUGAGUCUUGUUACACUUUGUUCUGCCCACAGCUCCAAACUUAGGGACUCAAGAAACAGUUAGAGAUGGAAUGAAUGAAUCUAAAAAUUUGGAGGCCAAACAAGGGUCCUCUGGUGUUUUUAAUUUCGUAGUUAUAGAGCUGCCAUGCUAAUAUCUUCAUGAGAUAUUAAGAGUAUCAUUGAUAGUCUUUUCCUGGUUUUCUGGAGAUAAGUCUGUUAUCCAGAGAAUUGAGAGGCCUGUCUUAUUUCAUAAAGGGGGCAAGGUUUAUGGAAUAUAUAAGGAAACUGAGAGUCAAAUAACAUUUUGAUCUUUUGUUUUGAAUUUGUAGCUCAGAUAAUGCCUACCAAAAGCAUUUCAAUAAUUCGCUCUUUUUUUAGCCAGCCAGUUCUUCAGUCGAGUUUAAAAAGGCUUGGAAGAACAUGUGAUUUUUAAAAUAUCCUGGAGGAUUUUUCCAGGCCUGGGCGACUCACGGGUCAAUGCACAGCUAUUUCUGUAUGUGUGUAGAGUGGGAGGUGCUCUGCCGGUUCACGGAGGGCAGGUCCUGGCUCUCUGGAUGGGGGGUUGGAUGCAGGACUUUACUCUUCCCUCCUUGUGCCUCAGCUGGACUUCACUGCAGAACCGCAGGCCCAUUUUCCUCACCCCUUUGUGUUUCCGUGCCUGCACCGGCUGCAAGGUGUUUAUUCUGAGCUGGUCCCUUUAAAUUGUGGGAGCCCUGACUCUGGGUCAGAGGUGUAGGUAUGAACCUAGUAGGUGUCUGAGGAGUCGCUCUGGGGGAGUGUAGACUAUACAGAGUAGGGGUAGCUUUGGAAUACACCAUCCAUACAUGAGAAACAAACACCUCCUAAUAGCAAAAGGAACCCUCAGGUCAAAUGGAGAGCUGAGGAGUGUGGACCCAUGGUGCUGAAGGAUCGAGUGCCCCGCCCAGCCCUGCAACUCAUCCUUUGAUUUUCUGGGCCAGGCCUUUCCCCCAGGGGCACAAUCCCUUUCAAGCUAGGUGGCUGGGCGGAUGUUUUCUGUUUGCCCCUCAGAUCCACUCUUCACCCUUCUGUGCCCUGCCCUGAGCUCUGGAAGCUGACCGUAGGGACUGUGUGAAUGGGCUCCUGGCUUCCUGCCCCCUAUUGUGCUCUUUACCCGGUGGGGAGAACCGACAGGAGAUGAGAGGGGUGUGUGGAGGGCGCUGGGAAUGGGGGGUGGCGGUGCGAGGCCCAAGUAUUGAUUCUCCUGGCUCCUCCCUGAGGCAUCACCAGGUCUGGGCCCCUGGUCGGCAGUGCUCUCCACAGGGCACUUCAUCUAAGGUUCCAGUAGCCUCUCCUCCCUCACCCCUGUGGUCCUGGCAUGUAAAUGUGGCACUGUUACUGGUCCCAGAACGCUGCGCUGUGGUUCCCCUACCCCCUGCUCGCCCCUCUAUAAAUGGUCCCUUUAUUAAACUCUCCUCAGAUUACCCAGUUUGAGAGUGCCAUCUGUUUCCUGCCAGAACCCUGGCGGAUAUGGUUCCUAAGAUCUUUUCCAGCUCAGAAAAAAGAUGCCUGCAAGCAAGGGGGAGCUGGCCCUUUGGGGUUCCCGUUUUUCAUUGGUGCCUCCCUGCCUGGUUCACCAGGAUCAUGGGAGGGAGGGACUGGUAGAAAUGUGAUCCCCAGAGCACAGAGUCACUAGGACAAGGAUCACCAGGGCCUUGGCAGACACAGACUGUCAGAGCCCCGAUUUCCAAAGAGUGGGCAGGUGUGCUGUCCCCCUGUGGUGGAGGGGCGAGGGUAAGGGGUGAUCACACCAAUGGAGGCUGGACUGUCACUCCCAUCCCUCUCUGCCCUGUGACUUUGAGCAGGUCACCUCACCCUCGGAGCCUUGGCCUCUUCCCUCCUAGUCCAGAGCUGAUUGCCCCAUCCCUGGCCCACACACGAAUGUUAUGAGGUGCAGAGGAAGGAGUCUGUGCAGACUAAAGAGAGUUGCCGUCAGAAACAGCUUUUAUUGUGAUGGGGUCACAGGCAGGGCACAGAGCUCCGUGGGGACAUUCCCCCUGCUCCUGUCCCAGCUAAACCUGCUUCCUUUCAUGCUUUCCUGCUGUAUGCACUCAUAGAGACAUACGUGGCUCCCAGAGUGUCAGUUUCAGGAUCAAAGCUUGACCUCAGAGAUACCAGGUUACAGGAUCAUGCCAUCAAAGCGCUGCGGCAGCCUCCGGCCAUCUCUGGAAUUCAGAUCCAGACCUCGAGGGUCUUAGGCAGCCACCUGUGGCCCUUCUCAAAGAAGCCACUUCAAACUAGGUCUAAGAGAGGAUAAGAGAAAUUAAGAGUAUACUUUUUUAAUUUAUCUAUUCUUUUUUCUUUUUUUUUUUGGCUGCAUUGGGUCUGUUGCUGCGCACGGGCUUUCGCUAGUUGCGGUGAGCAGGGGCUACUCUUCGUUGCGGUGCGCAGGCUUCUUAUUGCUGUGGCUUCUCUUGUUGCGGAGCAUGGGCUAUAGGCACACGGGCUUCAGUAGCUGUGGCUCGCGGGCUCUUAAGAGCACAGCCUCAGUAGUUCUGGCGCACGGGCUUAGUUGCUCCGCUGCAUGUGGGAUCUUCCCGGACCAGGGCUCGAACCCGUGUCCCCUGCAUCAGCAGGCGGAGUCGUAACCACUGCGCUACCAGGGAAGCCCCCUAUUUAUUUAUUCUUUUUUUUUUUUUUUCUUGCGGUACGCGGGCCUCUCACUGCUGCGGCCUCUCCCGUUGCGGAGCACAGGCUCCGGACGCGCAGGCCCAGUGGCCAUGGCUCACGUGCCUAGCCGCUCCGCGGCAUGCGGGAGCCUCUCGGACCGUGGCUCGAGCCCGUGUCCCCUGCAUCGGCAGGCGGACUCCCAACCAGUGCGCCACCAGGGAAGCCCUAUUUAUCUAUUCUUAAUGAUUAAAGUUACCACCGAGAGUUCUUGACAUACAAGAAAAAUACACUCUUGAAAACUACAAAUGUCAAGUGCAGUUUUCUCUUUAAAAAAGUGAUAAAGGCAGGACUUCCCUGGCAGUCCAGUGGUUAAGACUCAGCGCUUCCACUGUAGGGGGUGCAGGUGCCUGGUCAGGGAACGAAGAUCUGGCAUGCCGUGAGGCGCAGCCAAAAAAUUUUUAAAAAAAGAAAAGUAAUCAAGGCACUUAAAGAACUUCCAUCCUACUCACUUGGCACUGUGGAUAUUGUGCCAUACCAUGUGCAGACCAGUGGGGGAGUGGAGGAAGGAGAAAAGGGGUGAAGGAGCGAUGGGCCGGGAGAGGGCAUAGCACAAAAUGCCCUGGUGGAGACACACCUCACUGUGUUGCUUACACAGCAGUUGGGAAUUGUGCACACGGCAAUGUGAGAGAUCUUAAGAACAUAGUGCUCAGUGGAAAAUUAAAAUGAGAUACACAAACCAAUAUUUCCAUAAGUUAAAAAUAGGCACACAGGAAAACCCAUAGCACAUCUUGUGAGCAAACAUAAAGAUACACCUCAAGCACAUUCGACAGUUUGCCUGUGGGGUGAGGGAGAUGGAAUCGGGCUACAGGGAGAAAAGCACACACACAGAGAAAUCCAGAGCUUUCACCUGGACCACGUUAAUCUUGUGCCCAGAACUACUGCAUGUGAUGCAGGGAACCCUCUGCUCCUGAGGUGCAAGACAGACGAAAACGCAGACAGUCCUCAGUUGUUUUUUCUGUUCUUUUAAGUUUUAAAAGAAACUUUAAAAAGCUUUUACAGUUCAGUUUGCAUGGUCUUCCCCCGUAGCCCUCAGUGUAGCCUCUAAACCACAACUAGUUACUGGAUCAGAAGUAACCUUUGUAGGGUCAGAACGCAAACACAGCACAGACGCUGCCCACAAACCACAUGAAAGAAGGGAUGCUGUGAGCCACCCUUCAUGCUCCCUUCUGGAAACUCACCCCCUGGCAAUGCCUGCCAAGCGGGCUAGUGUCUAUCACAGCAGACAAGAGUACCACCCUACCUGUGGUUCUCUUUUGUUUAAAAAGUGCCUCAUGGAAAGUGGACGAUGGGGCAAAUGCAUGUGAACCUAUCAGAAGAGACUGAAUACAAUAUUUUGAACUGUAUGUCCACUUUUCUCUUUUUAGUAUGUUUCCUUUCGUCAUGUCAUGGGCAAGUUUUUUGCCAAAGUGAUAAUCACGCGUCUACAUAAUCACAUGUUACAUAAAUUACAUUAUUUUUCAUCCUUAUUCCAGUUAUUCUGUCCUCAAUAUUACGUUUGAUAGUAUUUUUCCAUUUUGCUACAUAGACUCUGUUACAUCAUUUUUAAUGACUGAGUAAUGUUUUAUUAACUAAAUAUCACAACACUUAUCAGAAUGACAUUUAAGCUGCUUUCCACGUAUCCUCCACUUGUAAGUAAUGCAGAAAGAAGGUAUCCAUGCUGCAUAAAACUUCUUCAUAUUUUAAAUGAAUCCCUUAGGAUAGACUCAGGACAUGGAAUUACUGGGUGAAGGAGUGAACAAAAGCAUCUAUGACUCUUGGUACAAAUUACUAAAUUGCUUUCCAAAAUGAUAGUAGUAAUUUACACUUCCAAUAGCAUGUUCUUGUACCAGCAUUAUGUUUUAUAAGUUCUUAAUUGCCAAUUUAAUAGCUUAAAUACACUGAUUGCAUUUUAUUUGAUUGUGAGGUUGAAAUUUUUCCAAGUUUGUAUUUCUGUUUAUAUAUUACUAUUGGGGGGUGAUCUUUUUUUUUAGUUUUUUAAAAAUUUUAUUGGAGUAUAGUUGAUUUACAAUGUUGUGUUAGAUUCAGGUGUACAGCAAAGUGAUUCAGUUACACACAUACAUGUAUUCAUUCUUUUCCAGAUUCUUUACUCAUAUAAGUUAUUACAGAAUAUUCUUUACCCAUAUAGGAAAUUACAGAAUUCUUUUUUUUUUUUU